GGCAUUUUCAAAACCCUCCUGGCUGGGCGUGAUCUCCAGAGAUCCCAGUCCUACUGGUCUCUGUGGCUCAGCCCUCCCUCCCAUCCAGGGUGUCUGAGAGAGCUGCUGGUGAGUCCUGCAGAUGCUUCGAGCUUGAAUCCAUUGGUCUGUGUGGCACGUAGUGCAACCCUGGAGAGGCGUGCGGAGAGGGAGAAUGAGAUCGAGACAGAUCCUGUGGGCACGCGUGGAGGAGUCACCAGAUGCAUUCCUGCCCAGCUGUCUCCUCUAGCUUUGCAGUUCCAGGGCUGAACCGAGGCAGCCACCACCCACCACACGGUGACUCCAUGUUUCAAAGAGCCCAGAUUUGGCAGAAGGAAGCUUGGCUUGAGGCCCCAUUUGCCAGGUGACUGCGGAUAAGUCCCUCCAUAACCCACAAAGUGGGAAAAGUGCCCAUUACAUCAUUAUGCAAAGACAAUAUUCAUGAAAGCACUUUAUGAAGUGUGAAAGUACAAGCUUUGAAAAUAUUAAUACUUAAAGUCUUUCCAUCUACCCCUAGUGGUCUGUAAGGGUCUUCACAGUUUUUAAGGCAGUUUGUGUAUCUGAGCGUCUUUGUGCCAAGUCUGUAUUUCAGUGUCUUCCUUCAUCAUUAGCAUAGUAAUAUUGCAGCAGCAAAUCAUGGGUUGGGAGAGAGGUCUUAGAAGCCAAGAACAAUGGAGAUUCAUGAUAUGUUUGUCCAAGUUCACGGGACUUGCCAGCACCACUGGCACUGAGUUUUCUAAAUGGAAAAAGAUGAGCUACCUUGCAUCUCCCCUGUGACAUGCUCUGUGGAGCCCUAAGCAGGACAAAAUGAGCCAGUGAAGAGAAGUGCGUAUGCAUCUCAUUAAAAUUCUGCAUUAAGCCUGAACUUGCAACCUCUUACAACGCCUCUCUGUGACACUAAAUGUGGAGAAUAUUCACAUUUUGUUCACCGGAAAAUGAGGGCUGGAAACAGAGACACAAGUGGUGUGAACUGCUCCCGACUUAUGUUUCACCCUUCAUCUGCCUGGCAGCCUCCCCACAGUGUCCCUUCUCGUCUCCCCUUCACCUCCUCCCUCACCUCCUAGCCUUUUCUCAGUUCCUCCCACUCUAUUUUCUCUCCUCGUUCCCUGUCUGUGUCAGGAAGCUCGGGCCAUGCUGAUUUACACAACUCUGUGCUGCAGGAGCCACCUUGCUCCCUGCCUCGUGUAGCUUAUGGCCUAUGGUUCGUUUUAUUUUAAUUUUAUUUAUUCAACAAACAUUCCUAAGGUUUACAGUUUGCUGAGAGCAUGUUUGGUUUACAGAGACAAGUAAGAGGCUUUCCUGUUCAGGGACUCAGCAUCUGAGCAGACACUGGGUGCUCUAAAGUGGCACUGCUGAGUGCAUGUCUGGGAAGUGCCUGUGAGUUCAGCGAAUCCAGCAGGGCUGUCUCGGUUGCCCUCAGACCGAGAACCUGUGACACUGGUGGGGUGAGGAAUGAGCCGUGGCCACUGCCGAAAACUCUGUCGGCUCCUAGAUAAGUCCCACCGAAGGGGCAUUGGUGACCUCCUUGGUGCCACAGAAUCUCCUGCUCCAGCCCUGCUGUAGACCUGUGGCUCUAGGUUACUUGCUUUAUUAUGACCCGUUGCCCUCAGCUGCCUUCAACCUCUCGGUAGGUGAUAGGUUGUUUGGCUUGGAAGAGAGUCUGGUACCCAGCCCAGGCCUUCCCGUGGGACCUUCAGGAGAGAGAAGGCCCCAUCCCAGAGUGUGCCUCAUUGAACAAGGAUUUUGAGGAAUGGCAGCUGCAGGAGAAGCUCUAAGAAGUCGCCCUUUUGGAAGGGGAAUUUACCUCUGUGAAGGAAUCUCUACCUGCCGGGUGUCUCCUCUGGGAUCCAGGAAGAAGAGGGAAACUCAGUUACAAGAGACACUUGUUGAGGAGAAAGCUCUAUUACAAGCCCACAGCAAGUUGUGGCCUUGGUCACCUGCCUUUCUGGUCACCUCCCCGUUGCCGGCCACCCCCAUCUUCUUUCUUUAUUUUAGUUGAAGAUAAGCUAGGGUUCUGGGCCACCUCCUGCAGAUUUGUGCGUCUUCCCCUGGAGUUUGCCACCCACGCAUGAGGUGUGUGGAUUAAUAAACUUCUGUUUUUCUCUUGUUCAUCUGCCAUGGGUUACAGGCGUCCAGUUUUUCUUCUCCUACAGGGAAACAAUUUGCUCCACUGGGAAGAGGGGAAAAGGCCACAGAAAGGCAAGUUGACCAGAAGACCCCUCACAGCGUCCCCUUAUCAUCACCUCCUCUGCCUCUAGGGAAGUCUUGGGGGCUGGUGGUGCAUUGGCUAGGUGCAGAGGCAAUGGCUACAGGCUGGGACCACUGUGGAAGCCCCCAGACUGAAGCCCCACUGCCUGAUCUCAUCAUCCUUUGCAUCACUCUGUGACCUAUGACUUUGACC
rnacentral:lncRNA from 10 species